AUUGAACGCUGGCGGCAGGCUUAACACAUGCAAGUCGAGCGGGGGAAGGUAGCUUGCUACCGGACCUAGCGGCGGACGGGUGAGUAAUGCUUAGGAAUCUGCCUAUUAGUGGGGGACAACAUCUCGAAAGGGAUGCUAAUACCGCAUACGUCCUACGGGAGAAAGCAGGGGAUCUUCGGACCUUGCGCUAAUAGAUGAGCCUAGGUCGGAUUAGCUAGUUGGUGGGGUAAAGGCCUACCAAGGCGACGAUCUGUAGCGGGUCUGAGAGGAUGAUCAGCCACACUGGGACUGGGAACCGGCCCAGACUCCUACGGGAGGCAGCAGUGGGGAAUAUUGGACAAUGGGGGGAACCCUGAUCCAGCAAUGCCGCGUGUGUGAAGAAGGCCUUAUGGUUGUAAAGCACUUUAAGCGAGGAGGAGGCUACUCUAGUUAAUACCUAGGGAUAGUGGACGUUACUCGCAGAAUAAGCACCGGCUAACUCUGUGCCAGCCGCCGCCGUAA
rnacentral:rRNA from 1 species